rnacentral:rRNA from 1 species
AACGAACGCUGGCGGCAUGCCUAACACAUGCAAGUCGAACGAGACCUUCGGGUCUAGUGGCGCACGGGUGCGUAACGCGUGGGAACCUGCCCUUAGGUUCGGAAUAACUCCCCGAAAGGGGUGCUAAUACCGGAUAAUGUCUUCGGACCAAAGAUUUAUCGCCUUUGGAUGGGCCCGCGUUGGAUUAGCUAGUUGGUAGGGUAAAAGCCUACCAAGGCGACGAUCCAUAGCUGGUCUGAGAGGAUGAUCAGCCACACUGGGACUGAGACACGGCCCAGACUCCUACGGGAGGCAGCAGUGGGGAAUAAUGGAAAAUGGGCGAAAGGCUGAUCCAGCAAUGCCGCGUGAGUGAUGAAGGCCUUAGGGUUGUAAAGCUCUUUUACCCGGGAUGAUAAUGACAGUACCGGGAGAAUAAGCUCCGGCUAACUCCGUG